GGAUAGUUGGGAGUGGCUCUGCGCUCAUUUUCAAGCGCCCGAAUUUGCGAAUAAAGCCCAAGUGAAUAAGGGUAAUAGGAAGAAGAAGACCCUUCUCCACCAUUCCGGCUCCAGGCCCUUUUCGUACAGGAUGGAUGCACGUCGUCGGGAGGGGUCCAAGUUCCCAGAGAUCGACGUCUUUGGUGGCGUUUAUGU